UGGGAGCAGUUAGGGGUUCGGUGCCUUGCUCGAGGACGCCUUGCCAGUGCCUAGGAGGUGAACUUGCACCUCUGCAGCUACCAGUCCAUACUCCAUAGUUGAACUUCGGUUCCCGAGUCAAGUCCCAGCUAUGGACUGGAUUUAAAAUGUGACAAACAAUAUACCCAGACUGUUAGAUUAUUCGUCAGUUGUUUGAUUGUUUGACUUUCUUCUUUUCCAGAAGGAUUCUCCAUCCAAGCCGUCUGUGGCUGAGCUGGCUGGAAGAUUCAGAGGUCAUAUUCUACCAAUGCCCACCUCAAAUGACGAGUUUCGCAGAAGACCGCCAUGUUCCCUCAAGUUGCAAAAU